rnacentral:rRNA from 1 species
UACGAACUGCGCGAACGUUAUUCGGAUUCACUGGGCUUAAAGGGUGCGUAGGCGGCUUCGCAAGUAAGGUGUGAAAGUUUUCGGCUCAACCGGAAAAGUGCAUCUUAGACUGCGGGGCUGGAGUGGGUCAGGGGUGUGUGGAACUGCCAGUGGAGCGGUGAAAUGUGUUGAUAUUGGCAGGAACGCCGGUGGCGAAAGCGACACACUGGGGCCUAACUGACGCUGAGGCACGAAAGCCAGGGGAGCAAACGGG